AACGAACGCUGGCGGCAGGCCUAACACAUGCAAGUCGAGCGCGCCCUUCGGGGUGAGCGGCGGACGGGUGAGUAACGCGUGGGAACGUGCCCUUCUCUGCGGAAUAGCCUCGGGAAACUGAGAGUAAUACCGCAUACGCCCUUUGGGGGAAAGAUUUAUCGGAGAAGGAUCGGCCCGCGUUGGAUUAGGUAGUUGGUGGGGUAAUGGCCCACCGAGCCGACGAUCCAUAGCUGGUUUGAGAGGAUGAUCAGCCACACUGGGACUGAGACACGGCCCAGACUCCUACGGGAGGCAGCAGUGGGGAAUCUUAGACAAUGGGGGCAACCCUGAUCUAGCCAUGCCGCGUGAGUGAUGAAGGCCUUAGGGUUGUAAAGCUCUUUCAGCUGGGAAGAUAAUGACGGUACCAGCAGAAGAAGCCCCGGCUAACUCCGUG
rnacentral:rRNA from 1 species